AUCCUAAAUUCCUAAUUGUGCAUGACUUCUAAUAAUUUGUAUUUCAUAUUCGCUACAUAAUGUGGAAAUUACAUAGUUUCUCUUGAUUCGCCAACUUUUGCAUAUAUCACAUGAUAACAUUGGAUGUGUACGAGUGGGUAUCAAACUUCACAUGUGGAUGUUCUCUUACAUGGACUGGGCUAUUGGAUUCCUAAUCCAGCAAUCAAUAUUGUACGUUCAAAUCCUUCUCUGUUUCAAUUUCCAGCAUAGCUAAGGGUACAAAUCAGGCGGGUUGAUAUGAACGAGUUUAAAACGGGUAAUGUAAAAAUGGAUAAAUUAGCCGACUCAACUCAUAUUUAAUACGGAUAAAAAAUAGGUUAACUAUAGAUAAUAUGGAUCUAUAUUAUUCAUGGCUUCUUGAAUAUGAUCACUUUUGAGAAUUCCGGUCUCCCAAAAUUGAGGAAUCUCCAAUUUAAGUCUUUGCAAGUGUAAAAAUUAAAUCCAUUGAUUAUUUUUUUUUAAGCGAUAAUAUGAAUCUUAUCCACAUUUAACCCAUUUUUAGAAAGUCCAUUAUCAAACUCACUAGGCCCAGCUAUGUUUCAACUCAAUACAUCAUUACUAGAACAUGGUCCUCCAGAGACCUCUCACAUCAGACUUAAAACUGUCAACCACUAAACUACUGAGCUAUUUUAUUGUAAAUGGUGUCACUUUUAAUGCUUUUAUCUUAUAUUUCUAUUUUACUUAUUAUUUAUAUAUAUAUAUACAAAUAGUAAAAAAAUUCGACGAAGCCGAUGUGCCGUGACACUGCUUGGAUCCAUGUAAAUCCGCUUCUGGUUUUGAUGUACAAGUAGUAUAAUUCUGUUAAUUUGAACAGUACGUGUUGGAUUAACGUGGAAGAAGUUGACAACGCCAAUUAGGCAUGAGUCCAGAUCCAGUGGAUUUUUCUCGAGGGUAAAAUGUUACUCAAAAAGUGCAUCAGGGCUUGAAUAAAUUCCAAGAGUAGGAAGAACGACUAUCAUCAUCCUGUUCCUAACUGAGCAACUUUUUUCUAUUUCCCUUAAAUAAAAUUUCUACUCUUUAAUUUGGGCGUUGAUCUAUACUGUAUUGUUAUAAGAGACUCUCGUCUUCGCCUGCCCCGAACAUGAGAGGCAAAGCACUCCGAUCUAUACCAUAAUCAAGAACUCCUAUCAUACGUAAUGAAACAAGAAGAAAAAUGCUUGAGUAUAUAUAGGGUGAUGAGGAGCAUAAACGCUACAGAGAGAUGUCUGUCUACUUUUGCCAAGUCACAAAAUAAACGGUAGAAAAUGAAUUUGAUGAGUUUGUCCUUUGAUCAAAUUUAGCUAGUAAAAUAUUUUCUAAGUAAAAGAAGAAUGUCACUAGUAAAAUGUGAAGUAAUUUUGAAAUUGCAGCCAAAUAUGAAUAAAUGCUAGUAUUCAUAUAAGAACAUCAAAUGUACCAGAUUUGCUAGCUAGAUAACCCAUCCGAUAGAAAGUCAAAAACUUUUUAAAGGAUAUUUUAAGUAUGCCAACCUAUUGGAAAUAGUUGGAGUACCCUUUGGCACAUUUUAUACCUUUCCAAGAAGCUUGUUGACAUAAUUAUACCCAAAUUACUAUUUGAACAAACACAAAAUGUGCUAGCUUUUGAUACAACCUUUUUCUCAGUUACAAAAUAACUAUAACUCAUUGAUUUCCAAAACCACAAUCAAUAAGGAAGAGAAGAUAAAGAUGCUUAAUUCCCUUUCUUAUUUCCCUAUAUAGGAGAUCAUCUUUUGGCGUAAAAGAUCAUUAUUUAAGAAAGAUAUAUACAAAUUCUAACCUCUUUUAGCAAGAAGAUGCAGCAUUAACAAGCAAUAUAAAUCAAACACGCAGUAAUGCGAGGAAAGAAGGCAAAUUUCAAUGGACCCAAUAAAAAAUUAAUUAGCAUAUAUUACAAGUUAUUUAUAAUUAUGACUUAUGCAUGACAUAGAUGACCACAUGGACACAUAAUAAUACAAUGAAACAAUUCAUACACGCGAAAAAUUGAAAAAAGAAAAAGGAAGAAACAGAGCUACGUUCCCCUCUUAAGCAUCUGCUCAUAGUUCUCAAUAGACUCGAGCCUCUGGAGAAGCAGCUGGUUCUUAAACUUCCUUAUGAAAGCCUCUGCGCUAUCAUUUAUAUCUUCUGAUGGCUUGCUUUCCAGCUUCUUUGGUAGUGGCGCCGCCUUAUUCUCCGACGCCGGCGGUUUCCUCAUACCCAUAGAGCUGGGUUCCGACGGCCUCUUCAGUACUACUGAAUUAGGUCUCUUAUUCUCUCUAAUCAAAUCUAUGGGUCUUUCUGAUAUUUUGUCUUCUUCCGCUUUGGGUGUGUAGUAACGAGGCUUCAAGGAGCUACUCAUCUUUCAGCUUUCUAUUUUUGCUUUGAAAAACUGAGUUGACAACUCUCUGCUUCUAUCCACUUCUCGAUUAUCUGUAUUUAUAGAUAGACGAAAAUUAUAGAGUUGACUUUUCUUCUCUAUGAUAAGUACGUUAUGAGUAAAAGUGGGGAAUAUGAUUCCCAUCUACUUUUUGAAUUUGGGUGGGUUGGGGGGGGGGGGGGGCUUUUACCCACGCCGGAACGCUACCUAAUUGAUUUAGUUUUGAAGGAAAAUAUAUCGUACUUAUAUCAGCCUUUGGAAAAUAUUAAAUAAGAAAGAAAAUAUACGAAGGAACUAGGGAGUAUGGUGCAAAUUAGACGAAUGGUUCAAGUGCUAGACAUCAUUUAACACAAUGAUCUUGAAAUAAAUAAAUAAACUAGCCAAUUCAAGAAAAGUUAUUUUUUUUUCUUUGACAUAGUUAACAUGAGUAAUAGAAGGUCCAAUACAAUCAAUAAAAUUUAACUCCUGAUUCUUACUAUUUAUUAAAUGUGAUAUUUUGAUCAUGGGUGUAGUCACAAGUAAAAUUGAAUUAAACAUGCGUAAAAAAGUGAAGCUUAUGUAACUCGAGUACGUUGUGGGAGGAAAAAAAUCAAAGCACGCAAUUUAAACGCGAAACGAGAGAGCUUAACUAUAAGAGGGCCGCCUACAAGGACUAUUAAAAUGGUCAAAAUACUUGAAAUUCCCCACACGAAUGCACUUUCUAGGCCACGAAGUUUGAAAGUAUUGCGGCUAAAGCAAUGGAUUAAUACCGAAAGGCCCCACGUAGUGUCCCCAUAUUUGGCGAUUCAAGACUGUCACUCUCAUGUGCGACGCUAAUCAUUCUGGUUAUUCUAUUUCAAAAUCAAUUAUUUAUGCAAUAAUCCAGAAUGCGUAUAUCCAAUCGUUUCUGUUUAUAUAUUAGGAAACGAGUUUGACAAUAAAAUUAUUCUUUUGCUAGCAAGCAAUGAGUUUAGACUCCAAAACAACAUUUGAUUUCACCAAUCAUACGUACAACUUGGGUGGAAAACAAAAUGUCUUUCCAUUUUACUAGAGUUUUUAUAUGCUAAACUUCAAACUCAUAAGAAUAAUAUUAACAGGAAGUGGAUGUGGUUGGAUCAAUUAGGUAGAUCGAAUAUCGGCAAUGAAUAUCGGCAUGGCAUCUUUACCCGUACCUAAAUAAAUGCCUAACUGUUGCUUUGUAGGUAGCACAUUUAUCAUUAUGCCAUCUUAAGAGCAUGUGACAUGACUUGGUUCCAUAUCCAAAGUAGAAGCAAGUAACGUGUUGGCACAUGUGAUUUUGACUUUGUCAUUCAAUAGCGCCUCCAUAAGCGGUGCGUCGGUGCCACUUUCAACCUAAUAUUGGAAUUUAAUCGGCCUAAUUUUGGGAUUCCAUUUCAUCAUUUGUGGUGUUGUAGCCCUGUCGCUGAAGCAAUUUUUUUUUCCUGAAACCUUCAGUUUCCAAAAUUCAGAACUGUAGGUUUGGCCAAAUUCUCCUUUAACUCCUUCCUUCACGAAAGAAGUUUCUGGACCCCAAGUUGAGAUUCAUCGUCCUCCAAAAUAUAGUAUUCUAAUAUUUUAUAAUCCUUAAACAGUUAUAUGAAGCGUUACCGGUAGAAUCAUAAUCCAGACAUGCUCUUUCUUAGGCAUAGAAUGAUAAUGAUAAUGAUAAAUGAUAAUCAAGCAACAAAAAUCCAGAGAUAGAUGUUGCAGAGCACAUGUGCAAAAGGAAAAAAGGGCAACCCGGUGCACUAAGCUCCCGUUAUGCGCAGGUUUCGGGGAAGGGCCGAACCACAAGGGUCUAUUGUACGCAGUCUUACCCUGUAUUUCUGCACAUAUGCAUAAGGGAAAUAACAAAAAUAAUCCUGUUCUUAGGGAAAUUGAACAUAGACCUUGAUAUACUAACUAGUAUGUAGUUAUACGUUUUAUAUCCUAAAUGGACAAAAUUAUCAAUUUCAUAUUUUCCCCACUGGGUACGAAGCUUUUUCCUGUUUGUUCAUCCUAUUGUUAGAUAUCAUGGAAUUUUUUAAUGAAGAUUCAUGAAAAAGAAUGAGCACUUUAUUUACAUAAGUAAUUAAAAUCCACGAAUUAACACUCGUAUUUUCUAUAAAUAUUGACACUUAGACCGGCUACUGAUAAAUAAGUUGUCACUCAAGCUGUUCCACUUGCUCAAUAAGUUAGCUAGCUUUCCCCAGGAUAAUGAAUACCUGUGACAAUUCAUUUAGCAGCUAACAACUGAUAUAUGGUCUGGGCCUCUGUACUUUUAUCACAGAAGAUGUCAUAUCGAUUGACUCCAGUUGGAUAAAACUGUUGGCUGAAGAAUGCUGUCAUUACAGGAAAAGCAAGGAGGCGGAUAAUUUAAACCUGAGGAUGAGCCAUAUGCCUCCCAGCAAAAAGAUGUUAUCGGCUCCCCAGAAAAUGAAGUUAGUUGAACAUCUUCCAAGUACAACUUUCUACAGGGGAAGCUAUCGCUGCAGGCAACUGUUAUUGCCUUUUCUGUAGCUGAAGUUCCUUUAAUACCCACAAAGGAUAUGUUAUCAAUGCGAAUGUUUGAAGUCUGCACAAUGAGUAGUGGU
rnacentral:lncRNA from 1 species